GGUCAACUGUUUGUUUCCAUAUUUUGACUAUUGUGAAUGAGGCUGUAAUGAAUAGGCAGGGCAGAUAUUUUUUGCACCAGGUGAUUCUGAUAUCCAUUAUUUUGGAUAUGUAUCCAGAAAUGAGAUUACUGGAUCUCACAGUUCUAUUAUGUCCAGUUCACAUCCUUUGCCUCAAGCACACCCUUUUGUUGAGAGGGGCAUUUGCUUUAAGAUUUCGAACUUCCAAAUUCCCAAUAUGAUUUGCCUCAUGUUCAAAAUUUACAAAGUUCACAGUAGGAAACAAGUGAAGACACCCCUACUGUUAAUACAUUUAUCUUCAAUUGUCCAUUAGAAAUGAAAGAGACAAAAUAUUGAAAAGCUUCAAAUUCCAUACUAGCAGCCAAGCAGUAGGUAAUUUAGAAAGAAUGUUAGAUACAAAAUUACCACUAUAAAUGCUGAACCCACUCACUGAUUUUAUCAAUUCAAAACUAGAGUUUAAAAUCUAUUUUAAUUUUUUAAAUUAAAUAUCUAUUUACUAAAAGAUGAUUACCUUGGAUAUUUAAGUUACAGUUACUAUAUCUUUCUUUUUUGAACAAAGACCAGGUUCUAACUGCAUUUUAUGCUCCUGGAAUCUUGUCAUGGAUGCAUUUGAAAUUGUACAGCCAAGAGGAUACCUCAACCCAAACAAUCUUCAGAAUUUCAAAAUUUACAUGUGGGAAACAUAAUGAUUCAUCUCGAAAUUUGCAUAAACCUUGAAACCUUGGGAAGAAUAACCUAAAAACAACAAAGCAGUGCAGUAAAUGUUUGGGUUAUAAUAUUUGCAACUUGAGCAAUUACAGCCACACAUUCAUAUUUCCUACCACUGAACAUUGACAAAGGCCAUGCCCAGCACUGCUUGAUGAAACACACAGAGUUAGUGAUCAAAGGCAUCACUGCUCUCUUCAAGGGGAAAGAAUGUGGCAAAAUUAGGGCAUAUAUUCUGCAGAAAGAGCUUCCUGGUAUACUUUUCAUCAUCACUAUCCUUUGAACAUAUUAUCCACAGGAAGAGAAUGCUAACCUAUGAUAUUUUGGGUUAAACCACAGCAUUGAGCACACCAUUCAUUCCAGAGGAGUUUCUCCAUGCCAGCAUGUGUCUUCAAUGGCAGCCUCUAAGAGGCUAAAUAAAGAGGAUGAUGAUUACAUCUUACUUCUAAAAGGAUUUUUCUUGGCAUGGGGGUAUACUGGGAUUAUGAAAAACAAGGAAACAGAGAGUAGAGCCCUAGCAACAUGAUUAAUUAGUUCGGAGAGACUUCAGCUACACAGUUUUUUUUCAGUCAUCCAAAAUACUGGAAUUUGUCUAGAAACCACUCAGCUGAGACCAUCUCUUUUCCCUGGCACUGCCAGCAGUAAUAGUGACCCAAUCGUGGACACCAUGUCAAGCCUGAAAAUGAAAUCAGCAUUGCAGAAGGACAAGCCAAGAGAUGGGGGAAAAACUGAGUCUUGAUGGCAUUGCCUUAGGUCUUCAGUCAAGAGUUAUGUGAAGAGGAUGGGAUUAAGAUGGUGGAAUAGAAGGACUAGAGCUCAACUUCUCUCCUAAAAUCAACACAAUUCACAACUAAAGGCUGAACAAUCUUCAACCAAAUGGACCAGAAACUCUAAAAAAGAUAUCCUACUCCAGAAGAAAAAGAGGAGGCCACAUCAAGAGGUAGGAGGGGCGAUGAUAUGAUAUAAGCAAUCCCAUACCUCCUGGGUGGGAAGCCCCACAGACUGGAAACUAACUGGUUCACAGAGACUCACUUACAGGAGUGAAAGUUCUGAGCCCCACAUCAAACUCCCACGUGUGGGGAUCUGGCACUGGGAGAAAGAGCCUCUGAAGCAUCUGGCAUUGAAGGCCAGUGGAGCUUGUGCACAGGAGCUCCACAGGACUGGGGGAAAUGGAGACCCCAUUCUUAAAAGGCUCACACAGACUUCCACAUGCGCUAGGUCCCAGGGCAAAACAAAGUUUUCCUAGGAAUCUGGGUCAAACAAGACUGCAGUUCUUUGAGGACAUCCUGGGAAAACAGGGGUGGAUGUGGCUUGUUGUGAGGGAAGGACAUUGGAAGCAAAGCUCUCGGGAAUAUUCAGCAGCUGCCUUUCUCUGGAGGUGGCCAUUUUGGGAAAAUCUGUCCCCACCCAUCAGCACUGAGAAGCCCCAGGGCAAACAACAAUCCAGGUGGGAUCACAGCUCUGCCCCUCAGUAAACAGGCUGCCUAAGGACCCCCCAGGCACACAGCUGCCUCUAAUCCCAUCCAGAGACAAAGCCCCACCCACCAGAGGGAUAAGAAUCAGCUCCACCUACCAGAGGGAAGGUAUCAGUCCCUCCCAUCAGGAAGCCUACAGCAAGCACAUGUACCAACUUCAGCCACAAGGAGGGCAGACACCAGAAGUAAGAGAGGUUACAACUCUAUUAUCUGUAAAAAGAUCACCACACCAAAAACCUAUAAAAAUGAAAAGACAGAGAACUAUAACUCAGAUGAGGGAGAAAGAAAAAACCCCAGAAAAUCAGCUAAGUGCUCAGGAGAUUCUCAGCCUCUGGGAAAAAGACUUUAGACUGUUGAUGCUGUUGAUGCAAGACAUUGGAAAAACUGGAGGCAAAGAUGGAUAACUUACAGGAAACACUGAGCAAAGAGAUGCAAGAUAUAAAACUUAAACAAGAGGAGAUGCAAAAUACAAUAACUGUAAUAAAAAUUUCACUAGAAGCAGCUAACAGCAAAAUACAGGAGGCAGAAGAAUGAAUAAGCAAGGUGGAGGACAGAUUAGUGGAAAUUACAGAUGUGGA
rnacentral:lncRNA from 1 species